rnacentral:lncRNA from 1 species
UUUCGAGAGGAGGUGGAAGGAAUUCCUUAAGAGGGUAUUGAAGAACAUGGAUAACAGUUGAGGUUCAUUAACGGAGAUUGAAUGAAGAAGAAACGGAGAAGAUGGAGUCAAAAGAAGAUAAUCGAUAGGGUUUCUUUACUUGUGUUAAUUGGGCCGCAUAUGGACAGAGUAAUAUGACUUGGCAGGAAGAACGAUUGUUAUUGGAGGAUUUUACUAAACGAAGCCCA